UCUCCAACUGCUCAUUAUCACCAUCAGCUCCUUACUGCUGCUCCUGUAAGUUAUUGCUUCCCAAGGAAAAAGAGUUCCACAGGAGCAGCUGUUGUGCAGAAUGCAGAAAUGGAGGGAAGCAGUAGACAGACGACUGGUCAGUGAGGAACAGGCCGAUUGGAUGGAUCCACAACUCUGUGUGGUUCAUUUACAUUCACAGCAGAUUUCAGCAGUAGCUGGUUAAAGCAAUAGAAAAAGCAAUAAAAACUUGGUGGCACGUGUAAAGCUUUAAUGUCUCACCAAUGUAGGAAUUUUUCUAUGGUUUCACCAUAAAACUGACAAUUAAAUAACAAACACAUCUGCAGAAGGACACAGCACAGACAAAAGAUCAAUAAAUAACAAUACAAUAAAUAACAAACA